rnacentral:tRNA from 1 species
GUGGGGUUGUAGCUCGGUGGUAGAGUGUUUGCCUUGCAUGUGUGAGGCACUGGGUUCGAUCCUCAGCACCACA